GGGAAAGGCUGCCCGCCUCGGCUCCCCCGCCCGCCCGCCUGCCUGCCUUUACGCUUGGAGAUCCGCAGCCCUCAGUUGGGGGUGGCAGAGCAAGACACAGCCGGACCAGUUCUGCAAACACGAGGCGCAACGCUACGGGCGGUUCCCAGAUAGCUGCUCUCCCAGAAGCUGUGGUGCUGUUACACAUUAAUGAUGCUUUGCAGCAUGAGGAGGACUGCAUGUAUGGCAUAAGCUGCAAGAGUAGUGAUUUUCUUCAGAUCAUACAGGUCAUCCUGGCAUGCAUUCAUGCUUUAUGUUGUCAGAAAAAGUUACAGCUAAAAAACACACAAUUCAGUUAUAUAAAAGAGUUAUUUAUUAAACCACCUAUAUACAAAAAGGAAAAAAAAAGUGGAAUGGAAGGAAAGUAGAACAAAAAGUACACCAAAUUCACAUUCUAACAAACAAGACAUCACAGCAGAAUGCUGGGGAAGCUCCACUGAACUGUCUGUUGGUAAUGCAGCUGCCACAGCCACGUUCCAGCCCAACUCUAUCCCCUUCAAUGCAUUCUUAGGGUCAACUCAGAACAACUGCAGAGAUAAAGGGCAGAAAGACCAAGCUGCCCAACAGCUGCACACAAAGCACCAAGAUUAUUUGGAAGGAAACUGAGCAACUCCCCCUCCCCCCCCCCAGCUCCACACACCUCAGCUGUCUCAAAAUGUUAUUAGAUGAAACUGUUAAAGAACAUAAACGUUAGCUCAAGCUAUGUUAAUAGAAAGCUGUUGUGUAACCAUUGGAAUCAGCCUAAUCAAAGUGUGCUCCUGCUUCUAUCUGUAGCCUUAAGCAAGUCACAUUAUUAACACCUCAGCCUGAUUCUGUUUGCCCUCUGCUUCACAAAAGGGAUAACACUGCUCUUCAAUACAGGCCUCAUGGAGAGCCUCCUCCUAAACAAUUCACAGCAAAAUGAAGCACUUAAACAGUGAAGAAUACUGAGUAAAAAAUACUGCAAGAUUCUUACUUAAGUAUUACAGGUUGUCUGAUGGCAUCCUGAGAAACCUUUAAAGCAGCCAGAAUGUCAAUAAACAUGAGAAAUAGAGUAAAGAGGCCCAGAACAGUCACUAUCCCCAGAUUUGGCUCAAGUUUUCUAAACCAACCAACCAAGUUCAAUUACCAGCACUCCACAAUGUACUUGUUGUGAAAUUCAAAUGGAAACAAACACUGGAUUUCUAAUCAACUCCACGUGUAACUGUUGUGGAAAAGCAAACUUAACUCUAAUUCGUUAGAACAAUCAGCUUUGUAUUCACUUAUCACUUUCUUUUAAGUGAGAGGAACACUCAUGGCAAUGUCCCAG
rnacentral:lncRNA from 1 species